UACGUAGGGGGCAAGCGUUGUCCGGAAUCACUGGGCUUAAAGCGUGUGUAGGCGGGUCGUUAAGUGUCUUGUGAAAUCCCACCGCUCAACGGUGGAACUGCUGGGCAUACCGGCGAUCUUGAGCCACCUAGGGGCAGACGGAACAAGCGGUGGAGCGGUGAAAUGCGUAGAUAUCGCUUGGAACGCCGACGGUGAAAACAGUCUGCUGGGGGUGUGCUGACGCUGAGACACGAAAGCCAGGGGAGCGAACGGG
rnacentral:rRNA from 1 species